rnacentral:rRNA from 1 species
AUACGUAGGGUCCGAGCGUUGUCCGGAAUUAUUGGGCGUAAAGAGCUCGUAGGCGGCGUGUCGCGUCUGCUGUGAAAGACCGGGGCUUAACUCCGGUUCUGCAGUGGAUACGGGCAUGCUAGAGGUAGGGAGGGGAGACUGGAAUUCCUGGUGUCGCGGUGAAAUGCGCAGAUAUCAGGAGGAACACCGGUGGCGAAGGCGGGUCUCUGGGCCUUACCUGACGCUGAGGAGCGAAAGCAUGGGGAGCGAACAGGAUUAGAUACCCUGGUAGUCCAUGCCGUAAACGUUGGGCGCUAGGUGUGGGGACUUUCCACGGUUUCCGCGCCGUAGCUAACGCAUUAAGCGCCCCGCCUGGGGAGUACGGCCGCAAGGCUAAAACUCAAAGGAAUUGACGGGG